GGUCAGCUCCACCUCCUCCCUCCUUCCCUUACUGAAAUCCUGUUUAUGCAACUGACAACAAGGAGCGUCCAGGCUGACCGGCACCCCCCUUCAUAAAGCAUGGUGUGACUCAUAAUUGGUGCCUGCCGCUAUGUGGUCAGGAAAAUAGCAGCAUCACUGCGCAAUGAGGAUCUGGGGGAGCCGGUGCUGGCAUGCAAGAAUCGGGUGUGCCAAGCUGGCCCCUCAUCAAAUAAUGCAAGAAUGUCAAGAUCUACCAGUCGAUCUGCCAGUUGCUCUGCUAGUUUGGGAUGUUCCCCUGCUGCUGUUUCCUCAGAAGUUGAGACCCAGAAGCCUCUCGGCAAUGGAAUAAAAUAGGAGAUAGCAAAACGGAAAUGAUGGUUUGUUUGACAAGUCCUGUAUGUGCAGGAACUGAACAGACCUGAGGAUACUUUUGCUUUCCCCCUUGUAACUAUUUUAUUAAAUAAAGAAGCACUUGGUUACCCAAAGGCA